UUCCGGUUGAUCCUGCCGGAGGCUACCGCUAUUGGAGUUCGAUUAAGCCAUGCGAGUCGCGAGUCUUAGGGACUCGGCGUACCGCUCAGUAACACGUGGGUAACCUGCCCUAUGCUGGGGAUAACCUCGGGAAACUGAGAAUAAUACCCCAUAGUUCACCACGCCUGGAACGGUGGGUGGAUCAAAGCUCCGGCGGCAUAGGAUGGGCCUGCGACGUAUCAGGUUGUAGGGGGUGUAACGUACCCUCUAGCCAUCAACGCGUACGGGUGUUGGGAGACAUAGCCCGGAGAUGGAUUCUGAGACACGAAUCCAGACCCUACGGGGUGCAGCAGGCGCGAAAACUUGGCAAUGCGAGAAAUCGUGACCAGGGAACUCCAAGUGCAUCGGGUAAGACCGAUGCUUUUCUUGACUCUUCAAAGGUCUUGGAAUAAGGGGUGGGUAAGGACGGUGCCAGCCGCCGCGGUAAUACCGGCGCCCCAAGUGGUAGUCGCUUUUAUUGGGCCUAAAACGUCCGUAGCCGGUCUGGUACAUUCGUGGGUAAAUCAACCAGCUCAACUGGUUGAAUUCUGCGAGCACGGCCAGACUUGGGACCGGGAGAGGUGUGGGGUACUCUCAGGGUAGGGGUAAAAUCCUGUCAUCCUGAGAGGACCACCUGUUGCGAAGGCGCCACACUAGAACGGAUCCGACGGUCAGGGACGAAGCCUAGGGGCACGAACCGGAUUAGAUACCCGGGUAGUCCUAGGUGUAAACGCUGUGGACUUGAUGUUGGGGGCGCUCCGAGCGCACUCAGUGUCGAAGCGAAGGUGAUAAGUCCACUGCCUGGGGAGUACGGUCGCAAGGCUGAAACUUAAAGGAAUUGGCGGGGGAGCACCGCAACCUGAGGAUUGUGCGGUUUAAUUGGAUUCAACGCCGGA
rnacentral:rRNA from 1 species